rnacentral:rRNA from 1 species
AGCUCCAAUAGCGUAUAUUAACGCUGUUGCAGUUAAAAAGCUCGUAGUUGGAUCCUAGUCUUCCGGGCGGGCGGCCCGCCUCGCUGGCGGGCGUCUGCUACGCUCGGGUCUGAGUUGCCGGGAGGGUGUGGUGCUCUUCACUGGGUGCUGUCACCUGCCCGCAAGUUUUACUUUGAAAAAAUCAGAGUGCUCAAAGCAGGCCGUUCGCGCCUGAAUGCCAUUUCAUGGAAUAAAUGAACAAGGCCUCCGUUCUGUUGGGUUCCAGUUCUGGAGGCAAUGAUCAAGAGGGCUUGACGGGGGCAUACGUAUUGCAGGGCGAGAGGUGAAAUUCAGUGACCCUUGCAAGACGAACUAAAGCGAAAGCAUUUGCCAAGAAUGGUUUCCUUGAUCAAGAACGAAA